rnacentral:rRNA from 1 species
CCCUUAGAUGUUCUGGGCGGCCCGCGCACUACAUUGGCACUCUCAAUAAGUUCCUAGAUCUAAAACUUUGGGGUAUUCUAUUAAGUGGUGUCGUGACUGGGAUUAACCCUUGCAAUUAUUGGUUACGAACGAGGAAUUCCUUGUAAUCGCGGUUUAUCAGCCCGCGUAGAAUGCGUCCCUGCCCUUUGUACACACCGCCCGUCGCUCCUACCGAUGAAUCGUCCGGUGAAGUUCAUGGAGUGGUGGUUGUUCCAGCUGCUGUCGAAGUGAAAUGGACCUCACGAUUUAGAGGAAGGAGAAGUCGUAACA